GGGCUGUUAGCUCAGUUGGUUCAGAGCGCAUGCUUCACACGCAUGAGGUCAUUGGUUCGAAUCCGAUACAGCCCACCA
rnacentral:tRNA from 1 species